rnacentral:rRNA from 1 species
ACGUAGGGGGCUAGCGUUAUCCGGAAUUACUGGGCGUAAAGGGUGCGUAGGUGGUUUCUUAAGUCAGAGGUGAAAGGCUACGGCUCAACCGUAGUAAGCCUUUGAAACUGGGAAACUUGAGUGCAGGAGAGGAGAGUGGAAUUCCUAGUGUAGCGGUGAAAUGCGUAGAUAUUAGGAGGAACACCAGUUGCGAAGGCGGCUCUCUGGACUGUAACUGACACUGAGGCACGAAAGCGUGGGGAGCAAACAGGAUUAGAUACCCUGGUAGUCCACGCCGUAAACGAUGAGUACUAGCUGUCGGAGGUUACCCCCUUCGGUGGCGCAGCUAACGCAUUAAGUACUCCGCCUGGGGAGUACGCUCGCAAGAGUG